CAAGCGCAUGCGGAACGCAUCUUAAUUUUUUUAUAUGACUUGACUUUAUCAUCAGCAACUUGACAAACAGCCUCGCGCGGCGAGGGUUCUGAUGUCAUCAAGUUGCUGGUCUUCUCGUAAUAAUAGAUCAAAAGAAUCGACAACUCUUGGCAUAAUAUAAUAUUCAUAUAGAUCUAUUAACAACCUAGAUUGAUUGCUCACCCAUAAACGUGGCAACCGGCAUGGAUGACAUGGUUGAACUUGAAGAUGUUGUCGAGUUGAUGGACGUGAGCACGUUCGAUGUCGCUGCAGGGACCGGUGACUUGCUGGCGCGGGCUUGCUUCUCGGCGACCCGCUGCCUGCAGGCAGUAGCUUCAACUUGUAGAGACGAACGUGCAGCAACAGGAGAUGACCACAAUGCCGUCGGCGGACGUGCGUAUGGCAGCUGGGGCUUGGCGUGUAUUUUGGCAAGGGUUUGUCUGAAACCGAGAGCAGAAGCCCGGCGGCGUGUAUGCGUCAAAA
rnacentral:lncRNA from 1 species